rnacentral:rRNA from 1 species
AUGGCGCCACCGCCGGCCUCGUACCCCUCGCCGCACCGGCCGGCGCUCCGGCCGGGCAGCCUGCAGCGCCUGCUCCGCCCGCCGGACCCCUCCGACACCGACGACGCCCCCACCCCGCGCUCCCGCUCCCGUGCCCGCUCCAACGGCCGCGUCCUGCUCCAGGUCACCAACAUCACGCCGGCGCUCUCCGGCGCCGAUCCAUUCUCAGGCCACCAGGGCUUCUACCUCCGCCUCUCCGACUCCGCCCGCUCCUGCUACGUCUCCCUCCACGCCGACCACGACGACCUCAUCCUCACCAACGGCCUCCACAUCGGCCAGGUCAUCGAGGUCGACCACCUCAUGCCUUCCGUCCCAGCUCCCGUGCUCCGCAGCUUCCGCGUCCUCCCGGGGCGGUACCCCUGCAUCCAGCACGACUCCACGGACGAUGACGUCGACGCUGACGCCUGCUCCGCCCGCGCCGAGAUCAAGGACAAGGAGGUCGUCUCUGAGCGCCCGCGCCCGCGCCCGCGUACGCACCGGCCCUCGCCGACGCCGCCCCUCCCGGAGAGGAAGGCGUGGCAGUCCGGCUCCCCUGCCACGAUGGGCCACGGCCACAGGUCGCGGUCGUUCACGACUCUGUCCGAGGCGUGCGCGGCGCCGGCAAAGCCGGUGAGGAGGAGUGAGGGGGAGCGGAGGGGCGCCGAUUUCCUGAAGAAGGUCAGGAAGACCAGCGUUGCGUCCAUCGACGGCAACAGCAGCGACGUCGACGAUGACGAUGACGAGUCGGACGUCUCGUCGUCGAUUUCCACCACGAGGAGGAACUGGGAUUUCACCGGCAGCAUAAGACCCGUCGGCCCCCGGAUACGCAGCAACAGUAUUUCGCCAGGGAGAUCAGGCCCAAACCAGAGCGGCACGGCGAAUGACCCACUGGAGUCGGUGAGAAGGAAAGCCGAGAAGGCAUUCAAGGUGCUCUCCAAGAGGAGCGCCCACGCCUCAAGCAAGACGCUCAGAGAGAGCUCCAGCGCGGCGGGGACACCGCGGAGCACCGGUGUGACGAGCGGAAUCCGGUGGUGCGAGGACAAUGUGCUGUGGAGCUCGCUCUCCUCGAGCUUAACGAGGCAUGGCAAGGAGGCAGUGAAGCAGAGAGACAUGGCACUGCAGGCUGUGCUUGAUGGAUUGCUAGAGGCAUCCACCACCGAGAAGUUGAUAAAAUGCUUGAGUACGUACUCUGAACUGCAAUCAGACAAGGACGACGACCCAAAGGAGCUCAUCGACAGGUUCUUGCGCUUCUCCCAAGAACUGGAUCAUGCCAUCUUCGUCGCUCAAUCACAGACCAGACUUCGUCAAGCGAAGUCAGGUGGUUCCAAUUCGACCUCCUCGGCUUCGUCCAAGGCUGCCAUGAAGGCCGCGCUGGACAGGAAACAGUCCGCCAUCUCAUGGGUCAGAGCAGCCAUUGAAGCCGACCUCUCACCUCUCUCCAGCCAUACAAGAGUCACCUCUGAAUCCGCAAAGCCAUCACCGUCUGAAUCAAGGCCUGUCACCCCACGGCUCUGCUGUUCCAAGACAAAGUGCAACUGUAACGGCAAGUCCUCCUCGAGGAAAACCGCCGACGCUUCGAGCAAGCUGAGUGCCGCCAUGGACCUGGCCGUCGCGCUGCGGUCGGAAUGCAACCGGUGGUUCCUCAAGUACAUCGACAAGUUCCUGGACGACGUCGAGAACGAGGCCGGGUACACGACGACGUGUGAUUCGCAGGUCGCGGGGCUUCUGCAGCAGCUCAAGAGAGUGGACGACUGGCUCAACCAUGUCGUGCGGCACGAGCGGAUGCUUCCGGGGCCGGGAGACAGAAGCAGCAGGGACUGCGUGUUUUCUGAGGAGGAGGAGAACGAUGCGUGCGAGAGGGUUCGGAGGAAGAUAUACGGGGCGCUCCUAAGGCAUGUCCAGUAUGCUGCGACAGCGCUAGAGAGUAUGAAUAGUGUAGUAACUGAAGAGGAGAAUUAG